rnacentral:rRNA from 1 species
GUAGGAUCCGAGCGUUAUCCGAAUUUACUGGGCGUAAAGCGCGUGUAGGCGGCCGGGUAAGUUGGACGUGAAAGCUCCUGGCUCAACUAGGAGAGGUCGUUCAAAACUGCCUGGCUAGAGGGCGACAGAGGGAGGUGGAAUUCCCGGUGUAGUGGUGAAAUGCGUAGAUAUCGGGAGGAACACCAGUGGCGAAGGCGGCCUCCUGGGUCGCCCCUGACGCUCAGACGCGAAAGCUAGGGGAGCAAACGGGAUUAGAUACCCCGGGUAGUCCUAGCUGUAAACGAUGUGAACUUGGCGUUGGUGGGGUCAAAUCCCAUCAGUGCCGUAGCUAACGCGAUAAGUUCACCGCCUGGGGACUACGGUCGCAAGAUUA